rnacentral:rRNA from 1 species
GAAUUCGCCCUUAGAGUUUGAUCCUGGCUCAGGACGAACGCUGGCGGCGUGCUUAACACAUGCAAGUCGAACGAAGCUUGAUGAUUGAUUUCUUCGGAAAGAAAUUUGAUAUGACUGAGUGGCGGACGGGUGAGUAACGCGUGAGCAACCUGCCCUUCAGAGGGGGAUAGCGUCUGGAAACGGACGGUAAUACCGCAUAACGUACAAAGGCCGCAUGACCAUUGUACCAAAACUGAGGUGCUGAAGGAUGGGCUCGCGUUGGAUUAGAUAGUUGGUGGGGUAACGGCCUACCAAGUCGACGAUCCAUAGCCGGACUGAGAGGUUGAACGGCCACAUUGGGACUGAGACACGGCCCAGACUCCUACGGGAGGCAGCAGUGGGGUAUAUUGCACAAUGGGGGAAACCCUGAUGCAGCAACGCCGCGUGAAGGAAGACGGUUUUCGGAUUGUAAACUUCUGUUCUUAGUGAAGAUAGUGACGGUAGCUAAGGAGCAAGCCACGGCUAACUACGUGCCAGCAGCCGCGGUAAUACGUAGGUGGCAAGCGUUGUCCGGAAUUACUGGGUGUAAAGGGAGCGCAGGCGGGGAGCCAAGUCAGCUGUGAAAACUACAGGCUUAACUUGUAGACUGCAGUUGAAACUGGUUUUCUUGAGUGAAGUAGAGGUUGGCGGAAUUCCGAGUGUAGCGGUGAAAUGCGUAGAUAUUCGGAGGAACACCGGUGGCGAAGGCGGCCAACUGGGCUUUAACUGACGCUGAGGCUCGAAAGUGUGGGGAGCAAACAGGAUUAGAUACCCUGGUAGUCCACACUGUAAACGAUGAUUGCUAGGUGUGGGGGGGCUGACCCCUUCCG